UACGAAGGGGGCAAGCGUUGUUCGGAAUGACUGGGCGUAAAGGGCGCGUAGGCGGUUUGCCAAGUUGGAGGUGAAAUCCCGGGGCUCAACCUCGGAAUUGCCUUCAAAACUGGCAGGCUUGAGUAUGGAAGAGGGUCGUGGAAUUCCCAGUGUAGAGGUGAAAUUCGUAGAUAUUGGGAAGAACACCAGUGGCGAAGGCGGCGACCUGGACAGAUAUUGACGCUGAGGCGCGAAAGCGUGGGGAGCGAACAGG
rnacentral:rRNA from 1 species